rnacentral:lncRNA from 1 species
GGCCCUCCCCGAAUCCUAUGCCUCUAGCUGCACGUCUCUCUUCCCGGCAGGGUCUGGCCACCGUCCGGGUUCCCUCCGCCCCCACCCCUGCAGUGCCGGAGCUGCCUAACUUGGCGUUCCGAACCCUUCCAGUCCCCCGGGGCGUCUGGAGAUAAGGUGCUUUGGAAUGGAAAAGGCACCAUUUACAUGUUAAUGAUUUUCGAGCUUCGGGCUUCUGCGUCGCGUUUUUUCCUCCAGCAGGUUUGUCUAUGAUGGGAAAAGUGCCACAACCCGGGGACCCGAGUCCCUAGAUUUAUUUUGUGAAGGUGGAAUUAAGGGAGGCGGGGAAAGAGAGGGACGUUCUUCAGGAACCGAAAGGAGAGCGCUGUCUUGUCUGUAUUUAUGUAUUUAGGCAGAAGUCUAAACUGUCUACAAAAUCAUUGCUUUGACUUCUUGGAAAUAGAUAAAGUAAGAGCCCCCUUCCUGGGUGUAAGUGUUAACUGAGGAGGAUGGUGAUAUUCGAGGGAUUUUUUUAAAUGGGUUCAGAUUUCAUAUUAGCUCAGUGUUUUGAAUACUGCUACAAUGACUGCCAUAAGAUAGUUUGAGAUAGUUACAUCCAAUGGUACAAAUUUUGAAACUUUAGAUAAAUCUGUUAAAAUUUAAAGUCUACAUUUAGCCUAUAAUUAUACACUUUUAAUAGUAGCCAAAUAUAUCAUCCAAAGCAAACAGUAGUUAUUUCCCAGGUCUUCCCGGAUUGCCACACCCACCAAAUGCUACAUUGGAAAGGAUCGACUUUUCUCUUUCCUGUUUAGAUCAGAAAACCUUGAAAUUUGCACACAUACAAGAUACCUGUAAAUGAGAGAGUUAAGUAGACGCCUUCAGCCUUUAAAAAUUGCUCCAGUUUUGAAGUUCCGCCAGAGUAGCAAAGUGGAAUUGGAUUUCUGCAAAACAUUUUACUUUGCCUCUUUAUUCGUACAGUGUUGAAAACUGGACCAAGUGAGAGGAGUAACAAAUAAAACACUAUCAACUUGCCACAGUUCUCUGACCUCCUCCAGGCAUCACACCACCAUGGAUAAAACUUAAAUGCUGGUCUUGUGCCUAGUUUUUGGUGCUUUGUGUCAUUUUCCCCUUAAUCGUUCAUGUAAAUAUUCGCCUUGUCAUUAUGCAUCUAUCUAUACACUGAGGGACUGAUUUUUUUUGAGAGAAAAAUAAUCAAAGGACAUGCUUGACUGAAAAAGGUGUUUUUCCACUGCCAUAUGUUAAUACAAAGUCUUCUUUGAACAGAAUUUAACCCAUGAGAUUACUACUGUAGUUUUUGCAUUUUAAGCAUUGGUUAAUAUUCUAGCUCUGUUUUUGGUGCUGUUGGAUCCUGCUUUAUAUUACUGCAUAAAGGCAGUAAUGUUGAAUUACCUUAAUUUGAUUACUUUAACUACAUAAAGGAGACUUGGGUCUCUUCAAAAGUUGCUUGUACACUAAAAUUUCCAAGCUCCUCAUUUCUAUCCUCUCUCAGAUACAAAUGUUGCAGUGAUUUCAUCUAUGCCAUGAUAGCUUUGGUAACCUUUAUGCCUGUGCUUUACAGAUCACUGCUUCCACAUAGUGCUUCUGGCAAUUGCCUAAGUCACAGUUCAGUUCCUACAUCACAUUCAUUUGGAGGAUCCAGUUUAAUAUUGGUGCGUUUCCUCAUUGUACAUAAAAACCACUGAUAUUAGAAUGAACAGAUUUAUUUUUAAAUGAUUUUUAUUUUUUCCAUUAUAGCUGGUUUACAGUGUUCUCUCAGUUUUCUACACUACAGCAAAGAGACCCAGUCAUACAUACAUAUAUACAUUCUUUUUCUCACAUUAUCCUCCAUCAUAAGUGACUAGAUAUAGUCCCCAGUGCUAUACAGCAAGAUCACAUUGCUUAUCCAUUCCAAAGGCAGUAAGUUUGCAUCUAUUAACCCCAGAUCCCAAGUCUAUCCCAUGCCCUUCCCUUCCCCCUUAGCAACCACAAGUCUGUAGAAUGAACAGAUUUAAUAUGAACUGGCAGAAAUAUUUCAGCCUGUACAUGAUUCAUCAUGUAUUUAUUAAAUACCUUACUAUGUACAUACAAAGAAUUUUCUCUUUCUCUGAGGAUAUUGUUUGUUGUUUUUCAUAUUUACAAAAUUAAAUAAAUGAAACACUCCCUUCUGCUAAUAUUUUUAUUAAUGUGUAUUUAUCAGGCUGACUCUGAUAAAAUUUCAGAUCCAUAAGUGUAUGUAUGUGUUUUCAUGACCCUGUAUGUGAGAUCUGUGUCUUAGAUAGAUGUAAAGAGUAAGAUCAUAUUGAGAAUAGAGUAAAAGCUGGUGUUCUAUCUGGCUUUUAAAUAGUACUAUGGAAUACUUAUAGGCAGGUUGGGGCUAGAUCUUGGUUUCUCCAUGCUCUUUCCAGACACUGUACUUUCCUAGGGGUUUCCAGAUGUUCAAAGUAAGGAAAUCUUGUCAUUUAUCGGAUAAUUGACCCCCUCCAAAUACACUGUGACGUUACAGUGGAAAGUUUCUUAACCAACCUCCAUUUAGCUGACUCAUGCGGUAACAGAUACCUGUCAUUCCUGGUGAGGUGCACAGCAAGCAAAAGGAUGCCACAGCACAACGAAUGCUCACAACACCUGCACACUUCUGCUCCCACCAGGUGAGUCAUGGACCCCAAGAGAAUCCAUCAUAUUUGUUCCCAAACCUGAUUAUACAUAUUACAACUGUCCUUAUGGAAUUUAAAUACUAAUCAACUGAACAUUAAAUUAAUAAAAAGAGUAUUUAAGGCAAAACGAAAAUUGCUACAAUGAAAACUAAGUUAAAUGCUGUGAAUGAAUGAAGGUGAAACACUGAAGAGUCUCCGUCAAAUUAAUUGUGGGUAUGAUGAUUGUAAAAGAUUGGGGUUAAAGUAUUCAAAUCUCUAGAUAUCUAUCAGUUCUCACUCUGCUUAUAAGAAAGUAAAAAUGAAGAUUGUAAACAAAGAGAUACAUGAGAAAGAUACCUGGGGCUCUGAAUAGUGGACACAUACUCGAAAGACCAAGGCCCUACAAGCCAACUGCUGGUUAAAAACCCUCAGACUAUGCAAAACAAAACUCUGCUUUUAUGGUUUAAACUAAAGGAAAUUGUUGUAUACUAUGUGUGUGUGUAUGAGAUUCCUUUUUAUUAACCAGCCAUCUAAAUAUUUUUCAUGUAUUUACAUGUAAUUAAAAUCAGAAACUAAAUAUGGUAGUAAAUAAUGAAAACCAGUUGAAUUGGGAUUUUAUGUUUGUUUGUUUGUUGUUUGUUUGUUUUGGCUGUGCCUGUGGUGUGCAGAAGUUCCUGGCCAGGAAAUGAACCUGUGCCACAGCAGUGGCUUGUCCUAUAGCAAUGACAAUGCCAGAUCCUUAACUGCUAGGCCACCAGGAACUUUAGGAUUUUAUAUUUAAAAAUAAAACUACAACCUAUGAAAUUUGAUCUACCUCACAGCAAAAUGCUGUUUACCUUUACAACUCUGCACUAAUUCUUCAAAUUCUUUGAAUGAGCCUUAUUGUUUGCUCUUUUUGAUGUGUGAUGAGAUAUUCUUUUUCUGUUUAAUUUUUGCGGCUUAAUCAUGACUAUCAUUGUUGCAAAAAGUAUUCAAAGAUUUCAUAGGUUUCUACAAGGUCCUCUUAUAAUAUUCAAUUACUUUCUUUGAAUUGAUGUCCUUGUUAGUUUUCUCUUCCUUUGUGUUUCACUGGUCCAACUCUGCUAAAUUCUACACUGACAAGACUUUACUGGUGAUCUGGGAAGUUUAGUACCACUUCCAGUGGCUCUAUCAACUUCUGCAUCACUUGGAACAUUUGCACCUUCCCUUUGCAAUUGAUGUGCAUUGUUUUGGGGUCACAACUGCUAAAGAGUUAUACAAAGUUGGCAUCCACUAGGGCAGUGCCACCUGAUAAAAUAUAAUGCAAGCUGAAAAUGCAAGGCACAUUGCAUUUCUAGUAGCCACAUUUUAAAAAACUGACAAGGAGUUCCCGACGUGGCGCAGUGGUUAACAAAUCCAACUAGGAACCAUGAGGUUGCGGGUUCGGUCCCUGGCCUUGCUCAGUGGGUUAACGAUCCGGCGUUGCCGUGAGCUGUGGUGUAGGUUGCAGACGCGGCUCGGAUCACGCAUUGCUGUGGCUCUGGUGUAGGCCAGUGGGUACAGCUCCGAUUGGACCCCUAGCCUGGGAAUCUCCAUAUGCCGCGGGAGCGGCCCAAGAAAU